rnacentral:rRNA from 1 species
CCUACGGGAGGCUGCAGUGGGGGAUAUUGCACAAUGGGGGGAACCCUGAUGCAGCGACGCCGCGUGGGUGAAGGAGGGUUUCGGCGCGUAAAGCCCUAUCGGCAGGGAAGAAGAUGACGGUACCUGACCAAGAAGCCCCGGCUCACGACGUGCCAGCAGCCGCGGUAAGACGAAGGGGGCAAGCGUUAUCCGGAUUUACUGGGUGAAAAGGGGGCGCAGACGGCAUUGCCAGCCAGGAGUGAACGCCCGGGGCCCAACCCCGGGACUGCUCUUGGAACUGCCUGGCUGGAGUACAGGAGGGCCAGGCGGAAUUCCUUGUGUAGCGGUGACAUGCGUAGAUAUUAGGAGG